GCCGUCUAUGGCUUCGUCUUUAAUGGCGUCGCCAACGGAUUUUUCCUAUUUUUUGAUGAAGAGGGUCGCUGGAAUGGCGAUGAGAUGAACUGGUUUCGGGUGGUUUUGGUGAUUUCCAACUAUUUGGUUUGCUGAUGGAGAGAUUCGAUCGAUUUUGGUUGGGUUUUUGUCGGAUCUGACUAGAUUCUGACAAUAAAUAUAUCAAAGGUUUUGUUGGUUUUUGAGUCGCCUAUGGAAAAUAGUAUUUCUGGUCGGACACUGUUCUCUCAUCGUUUAUCUCUUAAUCUUUCUUCUCUCUUCCCAUACUUCUACUAGUUUUUAUUUCUUUUUUUUUUCAAUCACAAGAAUAUGCGUACAUACAGUGUAUGUUAGUGUGUGAUGUGUAGAAAAUGAUGAGAAAUAUUCUCGUUGCUUCUAAGGAAUUUGUAUAUGAAUUUUAUUUAUGAAAAUGUGUCUGUUGUCUAUCUGUAUGUUAGAAUCUGUGUAUUGUAUGAAACAGUGUAAUACAUGAAUAUGUUAUUUUC
rnacentral:lncRNA from 1 species